GAUUGUUUUUGUGUUUUAUACUCUUAAGGAUAAGCUUGAGAGUCCCCUAGAAAAAGCAUAAAUAUUUAAAUCAGCUGUAUAGGCUUGAAAUUGGCCAUUACUAAAGAUCUUGUUAUAAAGCAACCUAAAAGAUUAAAAAGAUUUUUGUGCUUUAGUUUUUAAGAAAAAUGGAAACAAGAAAUAAAAUCAAGAUAAUUAAGCUUAGUCUAUGCUAAAAUGAGUAUUAUACAAAGGAUAAAAAGAAUAAAGUUUUUAAGUAUUCUUUACAACUAAAUAAAAUUAAAACUAAAAAUAAAGUGGGGAAAAGGAACUCGGCAAACCUUAGCUCUGCCUGUUUAUCAAAAACAUGGCUCUUUGAAAGAUGAAUAUAGAGAGUCAGACCUGCCCAGUGAAAAAUUUUAACGGCCGCGGUACUCUGACCGUGCAAAGGUAGCAUAAUCAUUUGCCUUAUAAUUGAAGGCUAGUAUGAAUGGUUCGACAAGAGCACUGCUGUCUCUUCCCCAUUAAGUAGAAUUUAACUUUUAGGUGAAGAGGCCUAAAUAUGAUUGAAAGACAAGAAGACCCUGUCGAGCUUUAAGAUAACUUAGGAACUAUUAUAAUUUUAAAUCUAUAACUAAGCGCUUCUUUUAGUUGGGGCGACUAAGGAACAGAAAAAGCUUCCUUUUUUAGCAUAGCUUCUCGGCAAAGAUCCAGUAAGACUGAUCAAAAGAAUUAGUUACCGCAGGGAUAACAGCAUAAUCUCCUUUGAGAGACCUAAUCGAAAAGGGGGGUUGUGACCUCGAUGUUGGACUAGGAUAUCCUAAAGAUGCAGAAGUCU
rnacentral:rRNA from 1 species